rnacentral:misc_RNA from 1 species
GACGAACUGCGCAAACGUUAUUCGGAAUUACUGGGCUUAAAGAGUCCGUAGGCGGCCUGUUAGGUGGGGUGUGAAAUCCCUCGGCUCAACCGAGGAAUUGCGCUCCAAACCGGCAGGCUUGAGGAAGGUAGAGGUGAGCGGAACUGAUGGUGGAGCGGUGAAAUGCGUUGAUAUCAUCAGGAACACCGGAGGCGAAGGCGGCUCACUGGGCCUUUUCUGACGCUGAGGGACGAAAGCUAGGGUAGCGAACGGG